GGAGUUAGCCGGUGCUUCUUCUGUGAGUGAUGUCCUUCCUGCCGGUUAUUGACCCGCAGGCCUUCUUCCUCACUGAAAGUGCUUUACAACCCGAAGGCCUUCUUCACACACGCGGCAUGGCUGGAUCAGGGUUGCCCCCAUUGUCCAAUAUUCCCCACUGCUGCCUCCCGUAGGAGUCUGGGCCGUGUCUCAGUCCCAGUGUGGCUGAUCAUCCUCUCAGACCAGCUACGGAUCGUCGCCUUGGUGAGCCGUUACCUCACCAACCAGCUAAUCCGACAUAGGCUCAUCCGAUAGCGCGAGGCCCGAAGGUCCCCCGCUUUCCCCCGUAGGGCCGUAUGCGGUAUUAGCCUGGGUUUCCCCCAGGGUUAUCCCCCACUACCGGGCAGAUUCCUAUGCAUUACUCACCCGUCCGCCGCUCGCCACCAGGGAGCAAGCUCCCCGUGCUGCCGCUCGACUUGCAUGUGUUAGGCCUGCCGCCAGCGUUCAAUCUGAGCCAUAAUCAAACUCUGA
rnacentral:rRNA from 1 species